rnacentral:rRNA from 1 species
GAUGAAGGCCUUCGGGUUGUAAACUGCUGUUAUUAGGGAAGAACAACUCCUUGAGAAUAUGCGGGGUGCCUGACGGUACCUAGUGAGAAAGCACCGGCUAACUAUGUGCCAGCAGCCGCGGUAAUA